rnacentral:rRNA from 1 species
CCGGACCUGACUGCUAUCGGAUUGAUACUAAGCCAUGCGAGUCGUUGUAGCAAUACAAGGCAUACGGCUCAGUAACGCGUAGUCAACCUAACCUAUGGACGGGAAUAACCUCGGGAAACUGAGAAUAAUGCCCGAUAGAACAUUAUGCCUGGAAUGGUUUAUGUUCCAAAUGAUUUAUCGCCAUAGGAUGGGACUGCGGCCUAUCAGUUUGUUGGUGAGGUAAUGGCCCACCAAGACUAUUACAGGUACGGGCUCUGAGAGGAGUAGCCCGGAGAUGGGUACUGAGACACGGACCCAGGCCCUAUGGGGCGCAGCAGGCGAGAAAACUUUGCAAUGUGCGAAAGCACGACAAGGUUAAUCCGAGUGAUUUCUGCUAAAGAGAUCUUUUGUUAGUCCUAGAAACACUAACGAAUAAGGGGUGGGCAAGUUCUGGUGUCAGCCGCCGCGGUAAAACCAGCACCUCAAGUGGUCAGGAUGAUUAUUGGGCCUAAAGCAUCCGUAGCCGGCUCUGUAAGUUUUCGGUUAAAUCUGUACGCUCAACGUACAGGCUGCCGGAAAUACUGCAGAACUAGGGAGUGGGAGAGGUAGACGGUACUCGGUAGGAAGUGGUAAAAUGCUUUGAUCUAUCGAUGACCACCUGUGGCGAAGGCGGUCUACCAGAACAUGUCCGACGGUGAGGGAUGAAAGCUGGGGGAGCAAACCGGAUUAGAUACCCGGGUAGUCCCAGCUGUAAACUAUGCAAACUCAGUGAUGCAUUGGCUUGUGGCCAAUGCAGUGCUGCAGGGAAGCCGUUAAGUUUGCCGCCUGGGAAGUACGUACGCAAGUAUGAAACUUAAAGGAAUUGGCGGGGGAGCACUACAAGGGGUGAAGCCUGCGGUUCAAUUGGAUUCAACGCCGGA